AUUAACAAGGCCAACCUGAUAUUUCCAAUAUAUUGUUAGAGUUAUGUAAGAAAGGAACUUGACGGAAGCUAAACAGGGUUGGGUCUGGUUAGUACUUUGAUGGGAGACCACCUAGGAAUACCAGGUGCUGUAGGUG
rnacentral:rRNA from 1 species